rfam:Otolemur garnettii contig100704, whole genome shotgun sequence.
GUGCUCUGUUCGGCAGCACAUGUACUAAAAUCGGAAAGAUACAAAGGAGAUUAGCGUAGUCUCUGUGCAAGGACGACACACAACGUCAUGAAGCAUUCUAUAUUUAU